GCUGGAAGGUUAAGGGGAUCUGUUAGAGCAAUCGAAGCAGUGAACUUAAGCCCCAGUAAACGGCGGCCGUAACUAUAACGGUCCUAAGGUAGCGAAAUUCCUUGUCGGGUAAGUUCCGACCCGCACGAAAGGCGUAACGAUUUGGGCACUGUCUCAACAACAGACUCGGUGAAAUUGUAAUUCCGGUGAAGAUGCCGGAUACCUGCGACAGGACGGAAAGACCCCAUGGAGCUUUACUGUAGCUUGACAUUGGGUCUUGGUACUACAUGUACAGGAUAGGUGGGAGGCUUUGAAACCAGGACGCCAGUUUUGGCGGAGCCAUCCUUGGGAUACCACCCUUGUAGUACUGGGACUCUAACCAUAGGCCAUGAAUCUGGUCUUGGGACACUGUCAGGUGGGCAGUUUGACUGGGGCGGUCGCCUCCCAAAAGGUAACGGAGGCGCUCAAAGGUUCUCUCAGUACGGUCGGAAAUCGUACGUAGAGUGUAAAGGCAAAAGAGAGCUUGAUUGCAAGACAUACAGGUCGAGCAAGGAUGAAAAUCGGACUUAGUGAUCCGGUGGUUCUGCGUGGAAGGGCCAUCGCUCAACGGAUAAAAGCUCCCCUGGGGAUAACAGGCUUAUCUCCC
rnacentral:rRNA from 1 species